CACUUGUUCAACCUUUCAAAGAUGCAUGGCUUCUUCUAGGGGAAACAACAACGAGCACACACCCACGACGCCGCAGGCUAUGGAUGUCCUCGUGCUCCGCUUCUGACCCACCGCAGUACCGCACCUUGUAGCUCCCGGCGACCACACCCUCCUCGGCGAAGGCCUUCGGUUCUAGAUAUAGACCUGCUCCACAAAAGUGCGCGUCGCUGACUGCAACCUUCCGACGAAAGAGCCGGUCCAUGACGCCCUCCGACCCCGGCACGCGCUCCCGCACCAACACCGAUGGACCCGCAGCAGUCCACGCCGCCGCGCCCAAGCCGGACUACCCAACGCGGCGACUGUCUCCCUGCUCAGCGAUUUCACAGCAACCGCAAGCGUUGCCUGUCCCUUCCACCUUGGCGUCGCUGCCCUCCUCGGGCUCGGCAUGGGCGGGGAGCGAGGGCGGCACCGAGGUGGAUUGGAGCCAUGAAGGCCAUCGUCACGUGGGCCUCGUCGACGUCCUCGUCAUCAUGUUUACCGCGGGUGGGAAGCAGGGUCGGCAC
rnacentral:misc_RNA from 1 species